CUAUUGAGAAAUGAUACAGUAGGGUCAUGAUCUAUACACCAAUAUGGCUUCAUUAAACUAAAGCUGUUUUUGUGCUUAGAGUAUCCGUUUAACUGACCGCUUUAUCCACGGAAUUGUAUGAAAUAUAUUUACGAAAAUAUUCACUAGAGUGAGAACUCAACGUGAAUUCAGAGAGCCUCUCAAAUGUAAGGUCAAAAUGGAAAAAUUAUCUUAGGC